UAUGGACUGUUUUGGUGUGGUGGACUACAUUUUUCGUUGGUUACGAGAAACAGAGUUGGACAUUAAUGUUAAGAUUAAGUGCCGGACCAGCAUUGUGGGGGACCGGGGCCGAACUUUCGGCGGGUUCUCGACAGGUAGUCGGGGCUCGUCACAAACCUAGUACAUCAUUUCAAUCUAAUGAUAUUGUUUCCCAAGGAAAACCAAGAAAACAAACCCAGAAGAAAAACAACAUUAUAUGGAGACUUAGAAAAAAUACUUUUAAUGAAGAUGCCUUUAUAUUCAAGGGAAACAAUACUCUUCCUCUUGAUGUCAUGAAACUUGACACUCCUUAUCAGUUU
rnacentral:lncRNA from 1 species